UACAGAGGUCCCAAGCGUUGUUCGGAUUCACUGGGCGUAAAGGGUGCGUAGGUGGUGAGGGAAGUCGGAUGUGAAAGCUCCGAGCUCAACUCGGAAAUGGCAUUGGAAACUACCUUGCUCGAGGGUUUGAGGGGGGACUGGAAUACUUGGUGUAGCAGUGAAAUGCGUAGAUAUCAAGUAGAACACCAGUGGCGAAGGCGAGUCCCUGGAAAACUCCUGACACUGAGGCACGAAAGCUAGGGGAGCAAACAGG
rnacentral:rRNA from 1 species